UACGGGGGGGGGCAAGCGUUGUUCGGAAUUACUGGGCGUAAAGGGCUCGUAGGUGGCCAACUAAGUCAGACGUGAAAUCCCUCGGCUUAACCGGGGAACUGCGUCUGAUACUGGAUGGCUUGAGUUCGGGGAGAGGGAUGCGGAAUUCCAGGUGUAGCGGUGAAAUGCGUAGAUAUCUGCAGGAACACCCGUGGCGGAAAA
rnacentral:rRNA from 1 species